UACGAAGGGGGCUAGCGUUGUUCGGAAUUACUGGGCGUAAAGAGCGCGUAGGCGGCUUUGCAAGUUUAGAGUGAAAGCCCGGGGCUUAACCUCGGAAUUGCUCUCAAAACUGCCAAGCUAGAGUGUAGUAGGGGAUGAUGGAAUUCCUAGUGUAGAGGUGAAAUUCUUAGAUAUUAGGAGGAACACCGGUGGCGAAGGCGGUCAUCUGGGCUACUACUGACGCUGAGGCGCGAAAGCGUGGGGAGCAAACAGG
rnacentral:rRNA from 1 species